rnacentral:lncRNA from 1 species
AAACCCUAAUCCUUGAUCUUGAAGUUUGUGGAUCUUGUGGCUUGCUUUGAGGGGGUGAAAACCCUAGAAUGGCUCAGGACAUUAAUAGCCUGCUUGUGUUGGUUACUUCUUGGUUUGAGGACUUUGGUUGUUGCUUGGCUUUGAAAUUUGACCUAUUUAAACCUAGUCCAUGGUUUUUUUUAAUAUUUUUCUAAGGUAUGCCUAUAUUCA